UGGGGAAUUUUGCACAAUGGGCGCAAGCCUGAUGCAGCGACGCCGCGUGAGGGAUGAAGGCCUUCGGGUUGUAAACCUUUUUCGCUCAUGGUCAAGCCGCAGCUUUGGGUUGUGGUGAGGGCAGUGGGUAAAGAAGCGCCGGCUAACUACGUGCCAGCAGCCGCGGUAAUACGUAGGGCGCGAGCGUUGUCCGGAAUUAUUGGGCGUAAAGGGCUUGUAGGCGGUUGGCCGCGUCUGCCGUGAAAUCCUCUGGCUUAACUGGGGGCGUGCGGUGGGUACGGGUUGACUUGAGGGCGGUAGGGGAGACUGGAAUUCCUGGUGUAGCGGUGGAAUGCGCAGAUAUCAGGAGGAACACCGGUGGCGAAGGCGGGUCUCUGGGCCGUUACUGACGCUGAGGAGCGAAAGCGUGGGGAGCGAACAGG
rnacentral:rRNA from 1 species